rnacentral:rRNA from 1 species
AACAGGAUUAGAUACCCUGGUAGUCCAUGCCGUAAACGAUGAGUGCUAAGUGUUGGAGGGUUUCCGCCCUUCAGUGCUGCAGCUAACGCAUUAAGCACUCCGCCUGGGGAGUACGACCGCAAGGUUGAAACUCAAAGGAAUUGACGGGGGCCCGCACAAGCGGUGGAGCAUGUGGUUUAAUUCGAUGCUACGCGAAGAACCUUACCAGGUCUUGACAUCUUCUGCUAACCUAAGAGAUUAGGCGUUCCCUUCGGGGACGGAAUGACAGGUGGUGCAUGGUUGUCGUCAGCUCGUGUCGUGAGAUGUUGGGUCAAGUCCCGCAACGAGCGCAACCCUUAUUGUCAGUUGCCAGCAUUUAGUUGGGCACUCUGGCGAGACUGCCGGUGACAAACCGGAGGAAGGUGGGGAUGACGUCAAAUCAUCAUGCCCCUUAUGACCUGGGCUACACACGUGCUACAAUGGACGGUACAACGAGUCGCGAAACCGCGAGGUCAAGCUAAUCUCUUAAAGCCGUUCUCAGUUCGGAUUGCAGGCUGCAACUCGCCUGCAUGAAGUUGGAAUCGCUAGUAAUCGUGGAUCAGCAUGCCACGGUGAAUACGUUCCCGGGCCUUGUACACACCGCCCGUCACACCAUGAGAGUUUGUAACACCCAAAGCCGGUGAGGUAACCUUCGGGAACCAGCCGUCUAAGGUGGGACAGAUGAUUAGGGUGAAGUCGUAACAAGGUAACC